rnacentral:lncRNA from 1 species
AAACCACAAGUAAACCUAGUCAGCAUUGAAAAUGCAACUGAUCUUUAAAAAAACACAGAGACAAAGCAUGCGAACUGAAGUGGAAAAGUUAACCUUUCUGUGGUCUGACUAGGAUUUCCUCUAGAGUUCUGAGUGGUUGUCUGAGUUCUAUUAGGAUCUCCACUAAUUGAACCACCAGAGACAAAACCAGGUAGUGAGCUGGUUGUCCGAGUUCUAUUAGCAUCUCCACUGAUUGAACCACCCGAGACAAAACCAGGUAGUGAGCUGGUUGUCUGAGUUAUAUUCAAGUCUCCACCAAUUGAACCACCUGAGACAAAUCCACGUAAUGCUGGUCUGUUGUUGGCAUAAGCACUCGGACUUUGAGAGUUUGAGGA